ACAUGAGUAGCGACAAAGAGUGUGAGAGACACUCUCGCCGAAAGUCCAAGGGUUCCUGCUUAAAGCUAAUCUGAGCAGGGUAAGCCGGCCCCUAAGCCGAGGCCGAAAGGCGUAGGCGAUGGGAACCACGUUAAUAUUCGUGGGCCAGAUGGAAGUGACGGAUCUCGAAGAUUGUUCCUCCUUAUCGGAUUGGAGGGGCCGUUCAGAGGUUCCUGGAAAUAGCUCCAUCAUCAGACCGUACCCUAAACCGACACAGGUGGACUGGUAGAGAAUACCAAGGCGCUUGAGAGAACUGCGUUGAAGGAACUCGGCAAAUUGCACGCGUAACUUCGGAAGAAGCGUGACCUGUAUUUACGCAAGUAGAUAUAGGUGGCACAGACCAGGGGGUAGCGACUGUUUAUCAAAAACACAGGGCUCUGCGAAGUCGCAAGACGACGUAUAGGGCCUGACGCCUGCCCGGUGCUGGAAGGUUAAGGGGGGGAGUUAGCUUCGGCGAAGCUCUGAACUGAAGCCCCAGUAAACGGCGGCCGUAACUAUAACGGUCCUAAGGUAGCGAAAUUCCUUGUCGGGUAAGUUCCGACCUGCACGAAUGGCGUAACGACUUCCCCGCUGUCUCCAACAUCGACUCAGCGAAAUUGAAUUGCCUGUCAAGAUGCAGGCUUCCCGCGGUUAGACGGAAAGACCCCGUGCACCUUUACUACAGCUUCAGAGUGGUAUUAGGGCAGACAUGUGUAGCAUAGGUGGGAGGCUUUGAAGCAGGGACGCCAGUCCUUGUGGAGCCGACCUGUGAAAUACCACCCUUGUCUUCUCUGAUAUCUAACCACGUCCCGUGAAACCGGGACUGGGACCCUCUGUGGUGGGUAGUUUGACUGGGGCGGUCGCCUCCCAAAUCGUAACGGAGGCGCGCGAAGGUAGGCUCAGACCGGUUGGAAAUCGGUCGUUGAGUGCAAAGGCAUAAGCCUGCCUGACUGCGAGACUGACAAGUCGAGCAGAGACGAAAG
rnacentral:rRNA from 1 species